UGUAGCCGGGAUAGCUUCUGACGCCUAAGA
rnacentral:piRNA from 1 species